GCCCGGCUAGCUCAAUCGGUAGAGCGUGAGACUCUUAUGUGUAUACCAUCCCAGGUUCUCACGAGAUCAUCUCAAGGUUGUGGGUUCGACCCCCACGUCGGGCU
rnacentral:tRNA from 1 species